AGCGAACGCUGGCGGCAGGCUUAACACAUGCAAGUCGAACGGGCUUCUUCGGAAGUCAGUGGCAGACGGGUGAGUAACACGUGGGAACGUGCCCUUCGGUUCGGAAUAACUCAGGGAAACUUGAGCUAAUACCGGAUACGCCCUUUUGGGGAAAGGUUGACUGCCGAAGGAUCGGCCCGCGUCUGAUUAGCUUGUUGGUGGGGUAACGGCCUACCAAGGCGACGAUCAGUAGCUGGUCUGAGAGGAUGAUCAGCCACACUGGGACUGAGACACGGCCCAGACUCCUACGGGAAGCAGCAGUGGGGAAUAUUGGACCAUGGGCGCAAGCCUGAUCCAGCCAUGCCGCGUGAGUGAUGAAGGCCUUAGGGUUGUAAAGCUCUUUUGUCCGGGACGAUAAUGACGGUACCGGAAGAAUAAGCCCCGGCUAACUUCGUG
rnacentral:rRNA from 1 species